rnacentral:tmRNA from 1 species
GGGGGCGAUUUGGAUUCGACCGGAUGAUUUGAAGCACCGCUUGCGUGUCGUGGUUGAUCAGUUGGCCACGUAAAAAGCUGAUCACACUUUUAGUUGCAGACGAAAGUUUCGCAAUGGCCGCCUAAGAACAGGUAGCCCGGACUGAUGGGGACCGCCGGAGUCGCUUGAAUGUCCGUCACAAUUCCGGAUCGCGCGGCGUCCUACUCGAGACGCGUCGCGCUAGAAACGAUUCGAGUUAGUGGAGUGUGGAACCUGUCAAACAGUGCCACACAAAGCGAAAAGGCGCUUUCGAGGCGCUACAAAUGGUUUGACUACACACGUAGACGGCGAUGUGGAUGCAUCGCGGGACGCGGGUUCAAUUCCCGCCGCCUCCA